UACGGGAGGCAGCAGUGAGGAAUAUUGCGCAAUGGAGGAAACUCUGACGCAGCCAUCCCGCGUGCAGGAUUGACGGCCCUAUGGGUUGUAAACUGCUUUUCUAUACCAAGAAACACCGAUACGUGUAUCGGUUUGCCGGUAGUAUAGGAGUAAGCAUCGGCUAACUCCGUGCCAGCAGCCGCGGUAAUACGGAGGAUGCAAGCGUUAUCCGGAAUCACUGGGUUUAAAGGGUGCGCAGGCGGAAUAGUAAGUCAGAGGUGAAAGCCCACAGCUCAACUGUGGAAUUGCCUUUGAUACUGUUAUUCUUGAGUGUAGUUGAAGUAGGCGGAAUAUAGCAUGUAGCGGUGAAAUGCAUAGAUAUGCUAUAGAACACCAAUUGCGAAGGCAGCUUGCUAAACUAUAACUGACGCUGAGGCACGAAAGCGUGGGGAGCGAACAGGAUUAGAUACCCUGGUAGUCCACGCCGUAAACUAUGAACACUCGCUGUUGGCAAUACACAGUCAGCGGCUGAGCGAAAGCGUUAAGUGUUCCACCUGGGAAGUACGAUCGCAAGGUUGAAACUCAAAGGAAUUGACGGGGGCCCGCACAAGCGGAGGAGCAUGUGGUUUAAUUCGAUGAUACGCGAGGAACCUUACCUGGGCUUAAAUGUAUAUUGACGUACUGAGAAAUCAGUAUUUCUUCGGACAAUUUACAAGGUGCUGCAUGGUUGUCGUCAGCUCGUGCCGUGAGGUGUCGGGUUAAGUCCCAUAACGAGCGCAACCCCUACUUCUAGUUACCAGCAUUUCGGAUGGGGACUCUAGAGGAACUGCCUACGCAAGUAGAGAGGAAGGUGGGGAUGACGUCAAAUCAGCACGGCCCUUAUGUCCAGGGCUACACACGUGCUACAAUGGCCGGUACAGAGGGCAGCUACAUAGCAAUAUGAUGCUAAUCUCAAAAGCCGGUCUCAGUCCGGAUUGGAGUCUGCAACUCGACUCCAUGAAGCUGGAUUCGCUAGUAAUCGCACAUCAGCAAUGGUGCGGUGAAUACGUUCCCGGGCCUUGUACACACCGCCCGUCAAGCCAUGGAAGUUGGGGGUACCUGAAGUCGAUUGCCGUAAGGCGUUGCCUAGG
rnacentral:rRNA from 1 species